rnacentral:tRNA from 1 species
GAGGGUAUAGCUCAGUGGUAGAGUGUGUGCUUAGCAUGCACGAGGUCCUGGGUUCAAUCCCCAGUCCCUCCA